rfam:Branchiostoma floridae genomic scaffold BRAFLscaffold_14, whole genome shotgun sequence.
UGGUGUUGUGGUUAGCACGUUGGAUUUGUGAUCCGGCUGCCCGGGUUCGAAUCCCGG